rnacentral:tRNA from 1 species
GGGUGAUUAGCUCAGUGGGAGAGCGCUUCCUUGACACGGAAGAGGUCACUGGUUCAAUCCCAGUAUCGCCCACCA